GACCAGUGAUGCUAAGAUUCUGCCAAAUGAAUUGCUUUGAUUAUGCAUCUUACCGUUCCAACUUGUCUGAGGUC